rnacentral:lncRNA from 1 species
GCAGCCUCAAACAUAUAAAGUUCGUGUGAUAAUGGGCCAGAGGAGGGAUCGUAAAAGCAAAUGAUUUACAGGCGCGCUCAGUGCUGGAGGCGGCUGCGAGACGGGAGCAGUCUUCAGAGUGCCCAGAUAAUGACUGCAACAGAGCCGAGAGCAGCGCCGAGGCUGCGGGAUGCGGGAGGCACUAUUUAAACAUUUCCGUCUGCCUCGGGCUCUGCUCCCCCCGCGCCCACCGUGACAGCCCGCCCUGGGACCCCACCGCCCGCCGUCCCUGGCCCUCGCCCCUGGGGGACAUCCGUCGUGCCUGGUCACGCUGCCUGCUGCCAGCCCCAGGUGCGGGGCCUGCGCUGCUUCCACACCGCUGGCCCCACAGGUAUAAUCUGAUCCCAUCGGUGCAGAUGGGUUCGGUUCAGUCUGUCACCAUGUGCAAGCUGUGUCAGAAGAGCAUCGGAUUUGGCUGCAAAGUCUGGGUCUGGUAUCGACUAUCAACCUGCUCUGUCACCUUGGGCUAAUCAAUCUCCCUGCUGUAAAAUGGGCAUAGUCACCUCCUGCCAUCUCACACCUCUGUCCAGCUUGGCUCUUCCUGGGGGAUAUUAGGAAGUGUUUAUGGGAGCCUGGAUGUCAUCUGCUUUUUAUAAUACCAAAAAGUCCAAACUAAUAUCUGAAACGCUGGGGCUCCUAUGGCAGAUGCUUGGAGCAGAGAUGCUGGAAAGGGGCUUGGUUCUUUUCUGUAUCGAGGUCGCCAGACCGGCARUACACACACAGAACUAAUCCACACACUCCGCAUUUCCCCAGAAAACAAGAACUCAGGCUCAAGGCUGGAACAGGACCUAGACCAUCCAUCCGUAAAACUUCCCAUGUCCCGUGCAAUGCUGGAACUGCUGUGCGCUCCCUCCUUGUGCUGCUUUCCCUAGGCAGCAACGGAUCUGCUUCGGAGCGCUGAGGACCCUUGUGAUACCCCCUCAGCUUCAUUUUAAAUAAAGCGGAACCUGGAUUAAUAACCCCA